rnacentral:rRNA from 1 species
UACGGGGGAGCAAGCGUUGUUCGGAUUCACUGGGCGUAAAGGGGUGCGUAGGUGGUUGGGUAAGUUUGAUGUGAAAGCUCUGGGCUCAACCCAGAAAUGGCAUUGAAUACUAUCCGGCUAGAGGAGUGGAGGGGGACUGGAAUACUUGGUGGUAGCAGUGAAAUGCGUAGAUAUCAAGUGGAACACCAGUGGCGAAGGCGAGUCCCUGGACACUUCCUGACACUGAGGCACGAAGCUAGGGGAGCAAACAGG